rnacentral:rRNA from 1 species
GAUGAACGCUAGCUACAGGCUUAACACAUGCAAGUCGAGGGGCAGCAUGGACAUAGCUUGCUAUGUUUGAUGGCGACCGGCGCACGGGUGCGUAACACGUAUCCAAUCUGCCCGUUACUCGGGGAUAGCCUUCUGAAAGGAAGAUUAAUACCCGAUGGCAUGUAUUUCCGGCAUCGGAGAUACUUUAAAGAUUUAUCGGUAACGGAUGAGGAUGCGUACGAUUAGCUUGUUGGCGGGGUAACGGCCCACCAAGGCAACGAUCGUUAGGGGUUCUGAGAGGAAGGUCCCCCACACUGGAACUGAGACACGGUCCAGACUCCUACGGGAGGCAGCAGUGAGGAAUAUUGGUCAAUGGUCGGAAGACUGAACCAGCCAAGUAGCGUGAAGGAUGACUGCCCUACGGGUUGUAAACUUCUUUUGUUUGGGAAUAAAAGACGCUACGUGUAGCGUUCUGCAUGUACCUUACGAAUAAGCAUCGGCUAAUUCCGUGCCAGCAGCCGCAGUAAGAC